AUUUCAUGUGUCUCUUCUUAGUGCUGAGGUGUAUGUGAUGGCAGAGACUGAGUCUUCCCUCAGUGCUGGAUAUACAGCUGACAGAUACUCACUAAAUACCUUUGAAUAAAUGUUUGAGAGUCACCAAAAGCAUUUCUAUCUGCACAGUGGGCUUUUAUUUGGCACUGGAGCAUUUCAGGACUUAACUGAUAUGCAGGUUCUUGGAGAAUUUAGUAGAAGCUUACAAAUGUGGAGAUAUAUUAAUAAGAUUUGUUGGCAUUCCAGAUUGGCAGUGGACCCUUUUUAGAAGAUUCCAGGCUUGGAGCUCAGUCUGUCAAGUAUAAGAAACAGAGUAAAGCUGGAGAAUACUGGUAGAAAUCAUCGUCUGGACUUGUGGGGAGUCGUCUCUCAAGAGGACUUGAUCUCUGGCCUGUGAACUGCCCCACAUGUUUCUUCUGCACAUCCUGACUCCCAGGCCUGCACAGGGGACUUCUGCACAGGCCUGACUCCCAGGCCUGACAUUUUCUGGUCUGUCUUCGCCAUGGUCUGCUAUCAACUGCAGUUUUGAAUUCUGGUUUCUCUUAUUCUUUGUCUCUAGGUUCAGCAGCCAGAGUCCUAUCCUGUACUUCUCUUCACGUUGCAGACAUCCACGAAAGAGUGAGACUGUUUUCGGUUGGAUUGAAGAGCAAAUGUGUGGAAGGCACCAAGAGACAGGAUCUCACUAUGUUUCCCAAGUUGGUCUUGAACUUCUGGCCUCAAGCAAUUCUCUUGCCUUGGCCUCCCAAAAUUCUGGAAUUAUAGGCAUGAGUCACCAGAAACGGCCCACUUUAUUUACUUCUGUGAUGCCUAUACAUUGUGUUAUCAAUAAAACUUGAGAUUCUGUAACUGAGACUGGUCUCUGUUUUUAAUUAAUUUCUUUUUUUUGUAAUUCCAAGGCUACCACUGAGGUUCAGAUUCUGCAUUUUGGGGCAUCAGAACUAGUUUUUUUUUUUUUAAUUUGAGGAAAUAUGCUAUAUGCUAGCAUAGGGAUGGCAAUGCAGCCUAUGCAUAUGUGUUCAUUGGAGUGUGCACACUUGUGUA
rnacentral:lncRNA from 1 species